GACACCCUCCCCCUCUUGAUAUUUUCUUCUUCUUCUUCCCAAGCUCCGACCAGCGUCGCCCUUUUCGUUCCCGAUCUUCUCCUUCCGAAGCUGUCGCCCGUUAUUUUCGUCCACACCACCGCGACAGAACGACUCCCCUUGCAGUUCAGCCGCUCGUCGCUGCCUCCUGAAGUUGUCGCCUCUUUUUCCGUAUGUGCUACUCGACCAAGCCAGCUGCUACACCACAUUUCUCCUUCGGCCGCUAUGCGUGGUAACCCACCGGAGAUCAUUUAGCCGCUGGCGUCUAUUUUUCUUUCAUAUCAAUCCUUUUAGAAUUAAAUUUUGGAAGAGUUUAAACUGCAGUCUAGCCAUUCGGAAGCUCAAAAUCGGACGCUUUGGCACAUUUCAGGCUACGCGAAUGUGUUUCCAUAGCGCCACCUACGGUUGUCAGGGGAUUCCGGAGUUGAAGAGACCGUGACCGAAGAUCCAAGAACCUGAGCCUAGGUGAGGACAUGGAUGGAGGAUUGUGAUAUGGCUUCGGGCCUAGCUUACCCCAUGGUUGGGUGUGGCUCUAUGUGCACAUAGGAGCGAUAUGUAGUUACUAUGGUAGGUGCUAAGUGUGCGUGAGCUCCGUUUGGCCGCGUGUUUCCUUGUGGAUAUGGAGCACGUGUGAGCUAUUCCUGGAUCGUAUACUUAGUAUGUUAUCAUGGUUGGUUCGAUUGGUUGACGGUUGAUAUCAUAGUGGGUACUACGGAUGCGUGAGCUAGUUUUGGCCGCAUGAUGCUUUAUCAUGUGUGAGCUAUUUUUGGUCGUAUCCUUAGAUGCCUUGCCAUGGUUGUAUGGAUUAUAGGUUUGUUGAUGGACUAAUGGGUAGUGAACAAAGGCCGAGUGUUGAUUGAUCUCUCGUCAUCAGUCGUAGAUCUCCAUUAUUCUUUUGUAUGUUUGUAGUUUUUUUUUUUUUUGUAAUGCAUCAUGGAGUGAUUAGAUGUAGCGAGAGUGAGGCCAACAAUUUAUAUAGGAGAUCCCUCUUUAGAACGAAAUCAUUUUGUAUGAAAUUUUUUUUAGUCAAAUUCUGAACUUUACUGAAACCUUGAAACUGUCUGGAUAAGUGUGUGGUGAGACACUUGUUUUGUGUUGUGGAGUUUUGAAGUUAUAUAAAAUUAUAUGGAAGUGUAAAAAUUUCUUCCCUUU